rnacentral:rRNA from 1 species
UACGUAGGGGGCAAGCGUUGUCCGGAAUCAUUGGGCGUAAAGCGCGUGUAGGCGGCCCGGUAAGUCCGCUGUGAAAGUCGGGGGCUCAACCCUCGAAUGCCGGUGGAUACUGUCGGGCUAGAGUGCGGAAGAGGCGAGUGGAAUUCCUGGUGUAGCGGUGAAAUGCACAGAUAUCAGGAGGAACACCAAUUGCGAAGGCAGCUCGCUGGGACGUGACUGACGCUGAGACGCGAAAGCGUGGGGAGCAAACAGG